rnacentral:tRNA from 1 species
GCCCAGGUAGCUCAGUUGGUAGAGCAGAGGACUGAAAAUCCUCGUGUCGCUGGUUCGAUUCCGGCCCUGGGCA